ACUGUCCCGAAACCUUUCGUGUUGAUUCAGGUUGAGAAGCCUGAGAGUUGAAAUCGAUUGCUCUAGAUCCAGCUUGAGACGCUGAAAGUUGAAAUCGAUUGCUCUGGAGCCAAUUUGAGACGCCGAGAGCUGAAAAAGAUUGCUCUCCAUCCAGUAUGAGCUGUUGAGAGCUGAAAUAGAUUGCUCUGGAGCCCCAUGGAAACCAGCUUUGCCAGAUUGAGGCACAUCUUCAGAAAGAAUCCUUCAAAUUUGUGUGGUUCCCACCUCCAGACACCAUCUGUUCGCUGAGCUGCGGUUGGAAUAGCCCUGUGACCAAGGUGACCUCCUAUAAAUGGGAAGAUCCAGAGAGGUACCAGGAGGUCUAAGGCUAAGAUACAGGCACUUUUUCAGUGCUUGGAGUCCAUCUGAAGCAAAACACAGACGUCAUAAAGG